rnacentral:ncRNA from 1 species
AGAUACCCUGGUAGUCCACGCCGUAAACGAUGUCGAUUUGGAGGUUGUGCCCUUGAGGCGUGGCUUCCGGAGCUAACGCGUUAAAUCGACCGCCUGGGGAGUACGGCCGCAAGGUUAAAACUCAAAUGAAUUGACGGGGGCCCGCACAAGCGGUGGAGCAUGUGGUUUAAUUCGAUGCAACGCGAAGAACCUUACCUGGUCUUGACAUCCACAGAACUUUCCAGAGAUGGAUUGGUGCCUUCGGGAACUGUGAGACAGGUGCUGCAUGGCUGUCGUCAGCUCGUGUUGUGAAAUGUUGGGUUAAGUCCCGCAACGAGCGCAACCCUUAUCCUUUGUUGCCAGCGGUUCGGCCGGGAACUCAAAGGAGACUGCCAGUGAUAAACUGGAGGAAGGUGGGGAUGACGUCAAGUCAUCAUGGCCCUUACGACCAGGGCUACACACGUGCUACAAUGGCAUAUACAAAGAGAAGCGACCUCGCGAGAGCAAGCGGACCUCAUAAAGUAUGUCGUAGUCCGGAUUGGAGUCUGCAACUCGACUCCAUGAAGUCGGAAUCGCUAGUAAUCGUAGAUCAGAAUGCUACGGUGAAUACGUUCCCGGGCCUUGUACACACCGCCCGUCACACCAUGGGAGUGGGUUGCAAAAGAAGUAGGUAGCUUAACCUUCGGGAGGGCGCUUACCACUUUGUGAUUCAUGACUGGGGUGAAGUCGUAACAAGGUAACCGUAGGGGAACCUGCGGUUGGAUCACCUCCUUA